rnacentral:rRNA from 1 species
GAGAAUUAUGUGAGAAUCAUAAUGGCCGAAAAUCUAAGGUUUCCUGAGGAAGGUUCGUCCGCUCAGGGUAAGCCGGGGGCUAAGGCGAGGCGGAGACGCGUAGCCGAUGCACAUACGGUUGAAAUUCCGUAGCCACCGAAAGAUUUAAGUACAGGGACGCUUUAGAAGUGAUGUUGCCGGGCGAUGGUUGACCCGGUCGUAAGGGAUCGAAAAUGAGUAGAGAAGUCAUCAUGGAAAGAGACAAGAAAAGCUGUAUGAAUAUCUUAGGUGCCCGUACCGCAAACCGACACAGGUAGAUAGGAAGAAGAUUCUAAGGCCAACGGGAGAAGGGUUGUUAAGGAACUCGGCAAGUUGACCCCGUAACUUAGGGAUAAGGGGUGCUCAAGUGAUUGAGCCGCAGAGAAUAGGCCCAGGCGACUGUUUAGCAAAAACACAGGUCUCUGCUAAAUCGAAAGAUGACGUAUAGGGGCUGACACCUGCCCGGUGCCGGAAGGUUAAGAGGAGAUGUGAGAGCAUUGAAUUGAAGCCCCGGUAAACGGCGGCCGUAACAAUAACGGUCCUAAGGUAGCGAAAUUCCUUGUCAGGUAAGUUCUGACCCGCACGAAAGGUGUAACGAUCUGGGCACUGUCUCAACAACCCGCCCGGCGAAAUUGUAGUACCGGUGAAGAUGCCGGUCACCCGCGACUAGACGGAAAGACCCCAUGGAGCUUUACUGUAGCCUAAUAUUGGAUUUCGGUAUUUCACGUACAGGAUAGGUGGGAGACUGGGAAGCACAGGCGUCAGCUUGUGUGGAGUCGACCUUGGGAUACCACUCUUGGAGUGCUGGAAUUCUAACCUGCGGCUUUGAAGCAAGUCGGGGGACAUUGUUAGGUGGGCAGUUUGACUGGGGCGGUCGCCUCCUAAAGAGUAACGGAGGCGCUCAAAGGUUCGCUCUGCAUGGAUGGAAACCAUGCGUCAGAGUGUAAACGCAAAAGCGAGCCUAACUGCGAGAAUGACGGUUCGAGCAGUAACGAAAGUUGGAGUUAGUGAUCCGGCGGUAUGUGAAUGGAAAUGCCGUCGCUCAACGGAUAAAAGCUACCCUGGGGAUAACAGGCUGAUCUCCCCCAAGAGUCCACAUCGACGGGGAGGUUUGGCACCUCGAUGCCGGCUCAUCGCAUCCUGGGGCUGAAUUCGGUCCCAAGGGUUUGGCUGUUCGCCAAUUAAAGCGGUACGCGAGCUGGGUUCAGAACGUCGUGAGACAGUUCGGUCCCUAUCUGUCGUGGGCGUAGGAUAUUUGCAAGGAGCUGUCCCUAGUACGAGAGGACCGGGAUGGACGCACCUCUGGUGCACCAGUUGUCACGCCAGUGGCACAGCUGGGCAGCUAUGUGCGGAACGGAUAAACGCUGAAGGCAUCUAAGCGUGAAGCCGCCCUUAAGAUAAGAUAUCCCUUCUGUUUACAGAGUAAGACCCCUUGAAGACUACAAGGUUGAUAGGCUCAAAGUGUAAGCACGGUGACGUGUUUAGCUAGCGAGUACUAAUCGGUCGAGGGCUUAACC